rnacentral:lncRNA from 1 species
CAACAUCUACCGCGGAAUACAUUGCCCUUUUUUCCAGGACAUCCAGGUUGACAAUCUCCAUCUGAUUUACAAGGUCCGUCAAGUUCUCUUCCUUCUGAUUUCUUACACAUAUCUGCAAGCAAUAUUUCUUCAAAACAUAAGAAUAAUAUCGUAUGUAAACAAAGAAUAAUUCAAAAUGUAAAUUUUUAGAAGUUAAACAUCCUUUUGAAAGCAGGUGAUUUAUUCAUUUUAUCAUUAGUUCCAAACCUGAUGUAAGAUGCAGAAAGCAAAAAGAUAUAUCAUUAUAAGAGCAGACAUCUUUGUAGUAUCCAUCUUUUUAAUAUAACAUAUGAUAUGACACAUAUAUCUGUUACUUAUAUAUGCAUAUGGUGAGACUACAUCUUGACUGUAUUAAUUACUUCAAAUUGAUUUCUU